rnacentral:pre_miRNA from 1 species
GAGGUACUCCCUCCGUUUGAAAUUACUUGUCUCGAAAAUGGAUGUAUCUAGAACUAAAACAAGCCUAGAUACAUCCAUUUCUGCGACAAGUAAUUCCGAACGGAGGGAGUAGGUU